rnacentral:rRNA from 1 species
UGCGUAGGCGGAACUUUAAGUCAGUGGUGAAAUCCUGCGGCUCAACCGUAGAACUGCCAUUGAUACUGAUGUUCUUGAAUACAGUUGAGGUAGGCGGAAUGUGUAAUGUAGCGGUGAAAUGCUUAGAUAUUACACAGAACACCGAUUGCGAAGGCAGCUUGCUAAACUGUGAUUGACGCUGAUGCACGAAAGCGUGGGGAGCGAACAGGAUUAGAUACCCUGGUAGUCC